UGGGGAAUAUUGGACAAUGGGGGCAACCCUGAUCCAGCCACGCCGCGUGAGUGAUGAAGGCCUUCGGGUCGUAAAGCUCUGUGGGGAGAGACGAACGUCCGGCAUGACCUGUCGGGGUGACGGUAUCUCCUUAGCAAGCACCGGCUAACUUCGUGCCAGCAGCCGCGGUAAUACGAAGGGUGCAAACGUUGCUCGGAAUCAUUGGGCGUAAAGCGCACGUAGGCGGCUUCGCAAGUCGGAUGUGAAAUCCCUCGGCUCAACCGAGGACGUGCACCCGAAACUGCGGGGCUUGAGUACUGAAGAGGAUCGCGGAAUUCCCGGUGUAGAGGUGAAAUUCGUAGAUAUCGGGAGGAACACCAGUGGCGAAGGCGGCGAUCUGGGCAGAUACUGACGCUGAGGUGCGAAAGCGUGGGGAGCAAA
rnacentral:rRNA from 1 species